GGACAAGGACAGCAGUUUGUUAGAAAAAGUAGAUAACUCUUGACAAUCGUUGUGGCAUGUAGGCAUCUGUUUACACCCGUCAACUGAAACAUUUCCUUCUGCACUUGUACUGAAGCAACUUCAUCCAUUUUGUAUCUGAGGCUGACGCAAGCUGCAGCCUUGAGUCAGAAGGAGUAAAACACAAUGCGAUCUGUUCAGCCCAAUUACCGGAUUCAUUUCCAAACAGGAAACAGCUGGUAUUAGUAAAGAGCUGUUGGGAAAACCGCAUAAAGCCAUAAGCAGCCAAUUUAUCAAGGAUUUUACAGGUAUGAUAAUGUAGACAGUUACCACUUGAUUUAGUAGUCUAAAUACCUGAAUACCAUCUAAUCAUGAAAAGAAUAUGAUAUUUUGUUGAGGAGAUGUAGAUUUUUGGGCGUUAAUUGUGGAAAAUUUCCAUAAUGACAUUAUGAGAUUAACUGUCUACUAUUAAACGUAUUGUGGUAUGCUUAUAGAAACAUUAUAUGAACACUGUUGAAUGCCUUUUUUUUUCUUUCAUCGUGCUGAACUUUGACUCAACAACAAUCCUGCUGCCAGAUCUAAUGGGUUUCAAUUAAGAGAGGAAACAGACCAUCAAGAGGACCGAUCAGCCACGUCUACAAACCCAUCAAAAUGUCAAAAAGCAGUGGCAGUGAGCGAUCACUCAUGUCGUUCACGUGAUCAAAGCUAAUGUGUUAUUUUUCCCAUUCAACUCACACAAUCUGUGACGUCCAUGUCAACACUAAGGCUAUAUACUGUGCCAUUUUCUAAUGUACCAUUGAAGAUGUCAUUUGCAUGUUAUGCCUCAGUUUUCCCUUUAAAUGCAGCGAUAAUCUUUUUUUAUUGCUUCUCAUUAUUAUGUAAGAGGGCGAUGUGAGGAAUGUUGAACUCCUAUCACUUUUAAAUCACAGCACUUCUACAUAAUGUUUUCCUCCUUUCUGCUUAUAUAUAUUUCAUGCUGGUGCCCUGGGUGGAAUGGUGUUCAAGGCUGGAACGACAGAUGGCUGACGCUACGGGGGGGCUGUGAAGGAACUGCUAAAGAGUGAGGACAUGAAACGUCUCUCUCCCAUCCACCCUUCUGUCCCCUCCCCCUCCUCGAUCCCCUCCUGACAAACGCUGAGCUCAUCAGCGCUGACGCAGCGGUGACGAAGGCUGGCUGAGAAGCCCUGGUGAAGCAGCACAACAGACCUGCCAAUUUCACUGAUUGACGCUGGGCAAACAAAUGAUAGCUGGAGACCCGCCCCCACGCUCCAGGCAGCCCCCUGCCCCCAGGCCACGGUUAGUCCAGGAGAGAGCAAGGCAGAGACCCCCCCCAGGAGGAGGACGCCCAAGAGGAAGGAGGGUCCCCAAGGGCUGUUUUAAUAUGGCCUGACCAGGCUCACCAGCAGUUGGAAAAUAUGAAAAAGGCCCGCGCCCCAGGAGCCAGGACCAGAACCCACACCACAGGGACACGGACACCCACAGGCUCAGAU